rnacentral:misc_RNA from 1 species
CGGCCGACAGUGACGACGAAGCGCGCUGC